UUCAUCGUCUCUCUUCUCUACUUGUUCUCAGACUUUCAUGCCAAGAGUUACUCCACCAAUGCCAAGGUCUUCAAGGGUAACUAAUAAUUAAUUAAACUACCUUUUCUUUUCUUUUCUUUUCGUUUUCAUUUUUAUAUGUAGUUAUUGUUUCAGAGUGAUUCAUCAGUUGAAGAAAAAAAUGAACAUAAUUGUCAUAAAUUCCUUUUACGAUUUCAAUUCUUCGGUGUGCAUAUGUAUCUUAAUAUCAAUUAAUUGAAGAGAUUCAUUGUUAAUUUAUAUUUUAUGUUUUUACUAUAAAUGCAUGAUUAAACAGUUCCUGCUGUUGCAGAAGCGACGAUAAUAUUAAUAACAAUAUUAUCAGAAAUAUUUAGAUAAUUAUUAUGCCGACAAUUAUACUAAGAAAAUUCCCAGUUAAAUUGGAGGGGUCACAAAUGGUCCCGCUUAAAACCCAACAACUAGACAGAACUCACUUAGAUAUUUAUAGCAAUAAUAACUAAAUAAAUAUAACCAACAUAAAGCUAUUAAAUAUAAGCAAACAACUAAGAAAUAAAAUACCAGAGUUUUAACGAGGUUCGGCCAAUUUAACUUACGUCCUCGGACACUACCAAAUUAAUAUUUCCUCUAGAAAUAUUACAAUAGAGAAGAUUAACACCAAGUUACAAUUAGCUACUUGGAUUUUUGGAAUGAUAAAACCUAAGGGGGAAGGGUUCUAUAUAUAACAAACCAAACCCCCUCCCUUUCUAUCUUUUCCUAAUGUGGGAUAUUGCCAAUAUUCAACAAAUCUCCACCUUGGUGAUAUUCCACAUCUUCGAACAUCUUCUCAUAACACAAACUUCAAUAGUGUCUUCAAAUUUGCAACCAAUCGCCUUCUUCCCUUUUGGUAGUUGUGCCAGUUUCCACGUCUUGUUUUUCUCUAGAGAUUGCAUUUCCUCUUCCAUUGCACCUAACCAUCUAUUAUUCUCUAAAUUUUGAAUGGCUUCGGUGUAAGUGGAUGGAAUAUUAUCAACAACUGGAAGUGCAUAAGCUACCAUGUCAGUGAAACGAGCAGGUUUCUGAAUUUCUCGUCUCUGCCUUCUGACUGCAAUUGGCUCUGAUUGCUGUUGAGGUUCUUGGGUAGAAACCUCUUCCUCAUCUGACUCUGCAUCUGCCAAUGAAGAAUCACUAGUGGUACCUUCUGCUGGAAUUACCACUCUCUGCUCAAACUCCACCUGCUGCGGAGUACACUUCACCUGCUGCGAAGUACUACUCGAAGUACUACUCACUCCUUCUGGAUUUACCUUAUUCAACAUGGCAGAUUCAUCAAAGGUAACAUCCCUACUGAUUAUCGUCUUCUUUGCCUCUAGACACCACAAACGAUACCCCUUAACACCAGCAUUGAAGCCCAUGAAUAGAGCCUUCUUUGCUCUUGGAUCUAACUUUGAUUCUUUCACAUGAUAAUAUGCAAUAGAACCAAAAAUACGCAAGGUGUCAUAAUCAGUAGCAGGUUUUCCAUACCAUUUCUCCAAAGGAGUCUUGCCAUUUAUAGCAGAUGAUGGCAAAUGAUUGAUGAGAUGUUGAGCGUACGUCACAGCCUCAGCCCAAAACUUUCUAUCUAAUCCAGCAUUAGAUAACAUACAUCGAACUUUCUCCACAAGCGUUCGAUUCAUACGCUCUGCCACCCCAUUCUGUUGCGGUGUUCCACCUACGGUGAAGUGCCUUACUAUGCCACAAUCUUGGCAUAUCUUCAGGAAUGGAUCGCUUUUAUAUUCUCCACCAUUGUCUGAUCGGAGAACCUUAAUCUUCCUUCCUGUCUGAUUUUCAAUUUUAGUUUUCCACUUAAGGAAAACUUCAAGCACCUCAUCUUUGUUCUUCAUAGGAAACACCCAAACUCGUCUGGAAAAAUCAUCAAUAAAGGUGACAAAAUAACGUCUUCCUCCAAGUGAUGGAGUCUUGGACGGUCCCCAUACAUCAAAAUGCACAUAAUCCAGAAUACCUUUAGUAUUGUGAAUCCCAGUGCCAAAUUUCACCCUUCGUUGUUUUCCCAGAACACAAUGCUCGCAAAAUUCAAGUUUGCAAGUCUUUGUACCUUUCAAUAAUCCUUGCUUGGCUAGAGUUUGCAAGGAUUUUUCACCAGCAUGGCCCAAACGCAUAUGCCACAGCUGUGUUGCCUCAGCGUCCUUCUUGGUACUCGAAAUUGCUGCUGCUGUUGCCCCGACCACUGUACUACCUUGGUAGUAAUACAGAUUGUUCUUUCUUAUGCCUUUCAACAUCACCAAUGCUCCUGAAGUUGCUUUAAGAACUCCAUCUCGUAUUGUCACAACUAGGCCUUUAGAUUCUAACGACCCCAAAGAGAUGAGAUUCUUCUUCAACUUUGGGACAUAUCGUACAUCCCGCAAAAUUCUAGUAGAUCCAUCAUGACUCCUCAGUUUAAUUGAACCUAUCCCGGCUAUUUUACAUGUGUUAUCAUUACCCAUGUAAACAACCCCUCCAUCUAGUUUUUGAAAUUCAAAGAACCAUUCCCAAAUGGGACACAUAUGAUAGGAACAACCAGAAUCCAUGAUCCACUCAUCUGCAUGUGAUGUUGAAGAUGUCAUACUAAGAGAAAAGUCUGACUCUGCUUCACUAUUGCAUUCUGCAACAUUUGCAUCUUGCGGAGUCUUCCAUUUUUUCUUCAAUUUUGGACAAUCUUUCUUCCAAUGUCCUUUUUCUUUGCAAAAGGAACAUUCAUCUUUGGCAACAGCUCGACCUUUGGACUUUCUUCUCUUCCUCUUAGACUGACUUUCCUGACGAUCUCUUGUUAACAAUGCUUCCACUGCUGCUUCACUUGAACCUUUCAACUUAUCCUUUCGGCGUAGUUCAUAGCUAUACAAUGCAGCAGUUACUUCAUUGAAAGUUACUUCCGACUUUCUAUGAAGUAAAGUAGUUUCAAGGUACUCAAACUCCUUUGGAAGCGAUCCCAACAACAUAAACGCCAAGUCUUCGUCUUCAAAAGUCACAUCCAAAUUCAACAAAUCAACCACCAGCUGAUUAAAAUUGGUAAUGUGCUCAUUCAUCGUGGUACCAGGAACAUAACUGAAACGAAACAGUCUUUUCUUCAUAUGCAACUUAUUUUGACUGUUCUUCUUCAGGAAUUUCUCCUCCAAUGCUUUCUACAAUUUACUUGCAGAAGUCUCUUUACUGAAUAUAUACUUCUGCUCUCUGGAAAGACAUGAUCGAAUUGUACCACAUGCCAAUCGGUUGAUGGUCUUCCAUUCUUUAUCAUCAACCCCUUCUGGUUUUUCUUCCUCAAUGGCAAUAUCUAGACCUUGUUGAAAGAAGGCAUCUAGAAGCUCACUUUGCCACAUGCCGAAAUGACCUAUUCCAUCAAAAAUUUCCACUGCAAAUCUCGUAUUUGCAAUUCCAACCCUCGACAAAAUGUACGAAGUGGAAGUUGUUGAUAUGGAUGGUUUUUCUUCUGUCAUUUUUGCCAUAGCUUCUAUUUAAUAGCCACCAAAUGCGGAAUACCCACAAGCUUUAGGAAAUGUUUCUGAUGUGUAAGAUCAGACUAAGCUGCAAACACAGAGCAUACUACAAAACCUUGGCUCGGAUACCAAUUGUUGCAGAAGCGACGAUAAUAUUAAUAACAAUAUUAUCAAAAAUAUUUAGAUAAUUAUUAUGCCGACAAUUAUACUAAGAAAAUUCCCAGUUAAAUUGGAGGGGUCACAAAUGGUCCCGCUUAAAACCCAACAACUAGACAGAACUCACUUAGAUAUUUAUAGCAAUAAUAACUAAAUAAAUAUAACCAACAUAAAGCUAUUAAAUAUAAGCAAACAACUAAGAAAUAAAAUACCAGAGUUUUAACGAGGUUCGGCCAAUUUAGCUUACGUCCUCGGACACUACCAAAUUAAUAUUUCAUCUAGAAAUAUUACAAUAGAGAAGAUCAACACCAAGUUACAAUUAGCUACUUGGAUUUUUGGGAUGAUAAAACCUAAGGGGGAAGGGUUCUAUAUAUAACAAACCAAACCCCCUCCCUUUCUAUCUUUUCCUAAUGUAGGAUAUUGCCAAUAUUCAACACCUGCUGCAUGCAAUUGUAUUAUAUUAUCGUUUCUAAUGACGAAGAAAAUGGAACAACCGUGAAGUGAAAAAAAAAAAGUUGAUGAGAAAAAUAAAUCAAGGCGGACAUAGAAAUUGUUGUCGCAGUCAACAUUAAAUAUGGUAAGCAGGUGAGUUAAUAAGUUUGACAGGUCCUCACCAAAAAUUAACUUCUCCCUUUUAUCGUCAUAUGUAUUAUUUAAGAUAUUGCAUGCUUUUGUCGUUUUCAUUACACCAAUAUUUUAUGUCUAGUAAGUUUUGGAACAACACCUCAUGAUUCAUCCAUUAAAUUCCAAUUUAGCGUUAUAUAAGUUUUUUUUUCUUAGAGAAUAUUAAGAAAAUCCAGUGUCAUAUAUACACAACAUGAAAUAAAUUUGGUAAUAAAAAAAAUUUGAGAGUAGGGCACCAAAUUAUAGUCCAGUAUUUCAAAUUAAUUUGGUUAUAAGGUCAACAAUCAAUUAUGCAAAUGAUGUAAACCUAAGACACUACUUUAUCACAUGUAUUGUUUCUACUGAUUAGUUUUAAUCAAUUGAAGUUAAUUGGAAAUAAAAUAAAGUAAUUGAUUAUGAAAUUGAUAGAGAUAACAGGUCAACCAAAUGAAUUAUUUUUCCUAUAUUAAAUUAUAAAACAUUCAAAAUGUAGUUAUGACACACGAAUAAGAUUUAUAUAAAAUAUAUAUAUUUAUUAAAAUUUUAUAUGAAAAUCAAAUCAAAUGAAAUUGAAGUUUUUAAAAUUAUAAUGUUUAUGGUGAAUUCAAGUAACAUCUAAAACAAUCAUUAAAAAAAUUGGAGAUUAAUAAGUUAGAAUUGUUUGGAGAGAUCUUACUCAAAAUAAAAAUUACUUUGACGAAAAUCAUAUUAUUAUAUUUUUUAAUAUGAAAGCUUCAAUCUUAUCAGAUUUAUAAUUUUACUUUAUAUUAUUUUUAAUUCAUAUUGUAAUUAUAAUUUAUAAUGAUAAUUAUUUAUUAUUUAUUAUUAUUUUAAAAUUUCAUAACCUUCGUUACUUACGGUUUGUUUAAGGUUACACACAAAAUUAAUGAAAAAUUAUAACCUCUGCUGCUUGAGGUUUGCUUAAGGUUGUUCACAAAAUUAAUGAAAAAAUUAUAACCUUCAUCACUUAUGACUUGUGUUAUAAAAGGUAAAAAAAUCAAGACAAAUCAAUUCAUCGUGUUUUUCUUCAUCAAAUCUGAUAGACGACUUCAAUUAAACAUUAGAUAAAUCUCUAUUGAUUUUAGUUUGCAUAAUACGAAAAACUUCAAUUUUUAAAUUUGAUCCAAUUUGAAUUUAAAUUUUAUUUAAUAAAAUAUUUAUAUGAUUUUAAAUUAGAAAAUAUAUUUAAAAAGUAAAAAAAUACAGAUUUAAUAUUAAAAUUAAAAAUUAAUGUUUUAACUUAAUUAAAUUUAAAUAUUAAUAUUUAAUUUGGUAAUUUUAAUAUAUUAAAAUCCCAAAUAAUUCUAUCUAUUAAUGUACAAUUACAAAUUAAAUCAACUUUAUGCUCAAAAUAAUUUUUUUAAUAUAUAUAUGAAUUAUAAAAAUAGAAUUGUUCUAAGUUUUAUUCCAAAAUCAAAGUGUUAAAAUGGGAUGCAUUUCUUAUAUUAAUAUUUUAUUUUCAUAUUAAAAUAAUAAAAUGUAAAUUAAAAUGAGUUGAAAUUUAAUAAAUAUUAAAUUACACUUUCUAAUUAACUCCAAUUGCAUAUUGAUUGUCAUUAGGAUUAUCUAAUCACAUUAUUUUUAUAAUACAAAUAUGAGAAAAUAUUUAGUACAUCAGUGAAAUUUUUAACUUUCACAAGUAAAGUUAGAGAGUUUAACAAGUUAUAGGGAUAGAGUAAAAUAUUAAAAAAAAAGAGAGUCAUAUAACAAAAUUUUAAAGUUGUUUGUGAAAUAAAUAAAAAAAUACACUACCACUAUAACAAAUACUAACCUUGCAAAUAUAUUUACAAUAUAAAAUGUUUUAAAACAUUAAGAGUAAAUUAAAAUAAUAAUAAUAAUGUGCAACGCGUGUGGGGCUAAAAACUAAUAUAUAUAAAAUACAAAGUAAAAAAAUGGACUAAACUAGGUUUAAGUUUUGAGUAUUAGAGUUCAAGCUUGAUUCAUAUUUUAAAUGAGUCUAAUAUUUUUAUCUAAAACUAUUUUUAAACUUCAUAAUUUUAUUCAAAUCUAUUUAUUAUAUAAAAUCAAAUUCUUUUGGGAGUCAUUAGGAAUUAAUAAGGAUAAUUUUGGUAGUAAAAGUUAAAGACAAUUAUAUAUUUUGGAAAAAAUAAUUAUUUUAAAAUUUAAUAAAACUAACUCCCUUUUAGUAAUUAGGAAUUAAUAAGCACAAUUUAGACAUUAAAAGUUUAGAUAAUUGAAAUUUUUUAAUUACUUAUUUUAAAAUUUUUUAUUCCAUUUUAAUUAUUUGUAUUUAAAUUGUUCUUUUAAGUCCAAAUGAAAUUAUUUAUGCUUAAUUCAUUAAUCUUUUACCAAAAUUUUUUUUUAAAAAUUUUUAAUAAUUUAAUAAUUUAAUUUUAAUAUAAAAAAUCUAUAUUCCAAGAAUUUACAUACCAAAAUGUAUAUAAAAAAUUUAGAUAGUAAGUUGAUGUUUUUAAAGGAAAAGGUGAGUAAAAAAUAAAAUAUUUUUAAGAUUAUUCAAAAGAUAAUAUCUGCAGUAGUAUCAGUAUCAGUAUCAGUAUCUAUAUGUAUUAAUAUCAUAUUUACUUUUGUUUUCUUCUAAAUUUAAAUUGGUUAGUUUCUUUAGUUUUACUUAAUAUAUUAUUAUUAAAAAAUUUAAUAAAUUUUCAAUUGAACUUUAAUUUCAGCUACACAUUUUGUAUAUGGUAAUAUUUGUUAUUAAGAAUAUUUGAUAUAUUAAUUAGCUUUUCAGUUACAAGUUUUUUUUGUAUAAAUAUUGUUCCAUCUUAUUAUUUUAUCCUAAUUUUCGUUUGAUCGUAAUUUUAUCUUAAUUUUUAAUUUUUUUUUCUCUACUAAGAGGUUAGUUUUUUAAAUGGAUACACGUGUUUACAUGCUAUUUUUAAAUAAAUUAUUAGUUUUUUUUAUCUAUUUCUUUGUUUUUCAAUGUCAAGCUCGAGUCUAAAACUUUUUUAUUUUUAAAUUGAGAGUAUAAUUUUUUUUCUAGUCUUCGUCGUAUUCUAACAUAAAAAAUUAAAAAUCCAUUAAUAACACUAUUUACUAAUAUUAUACAAAUAUAUAUCCAAAAUAGAUUACAAGAUUUCCUUUUAUGUCCAUUUUUAAUAUUUUUUUAUAAUAAUUCCAUGCAAGGGAAAAAUCAGGAUUUUAUUGUUUGAAGUUUAGAUAAAGCAUUUCUCUUUUCAAUUUUCUUACUCUUUUUUGUUGCACGUGAAAAAGUUAUUGGUGCUACCGCCCAGCUUUGGAUAUCAUUCUAUAUUUAAAUUGGGUAUAUUUCAUUUAUAUGAUUUGACAUGUUGAUGGCAUAUUUUAUAAAAUCAUAACAAUUUUCCAUAUAAGGUAAAAUUGUAUUUUAGAUAUCUAUUAUUGAUAGUAGUAAUUAAUUUUUUUGCUGGUAUUUUUUAAAGAGAUAAACGAUUAAUCAUGAAAUAUGCUCUAUUCUUAAUAAAGAGGCAAUGGAAGAAGAUUGUAUUUGAGUUGUUCGAUUAAAAAUUUUCAAAAUUGACUUGGAAAGAAGAAGUCAAAUAGAUUUAAAAAUAAUAAUAAAGAAAAAAAAUACAGAAACAACUAAAAGAAAAAAAUUAAGAACAAAGAAUAAAGAUUUAAAACAAUAAAUAAAUAAAACGAAAAUUAAAAAGUGGUUUAAAAAAUCGAUUGAUAUAAUAGCUAGAUGAAUAAGUGUCCAAUUGAACCAUUUGAGACAAAAAUCACAACAAAUUCAAUUAAUAACUCUAAUGGAACUCUAAUUAAUCUAAAUAAAAAAAAAUUAUAUGAUAAAGCAAGUUCUGAUGAAAAAUUCCUAUUACAUAGUGAGAUGACAAGUAAUGGAUUUUGAUAACAAUUUUUAUUAAAGUGGGAAGUGAUAAUGUAGUGAAUUAAUUUGGUAAAAGUUUUGUUCUUGUCAAGCCAUGAAAAGAUAAAAGUAAUAAAUUAUGGUAAUAAUGAAUCAUAUAAAUAUGGAAUUAUCUGUUAAUUAUUAAAAUAUGCUUUAUUAAGAUAUGUUCAAGAAUUAUAAUAGUAGUAAUUUUUUAUAUAUAGAGUUUAAGGUAAAAAAAAAGAGAUUAUUCCUGGGUACUUACUAAGCUUUUACAAGUGUAACGUGUGUUUUAAACACGUAGAUGGAAGAUCGAAUUAAAGCUCUAGAUUCAGGUUGAGAUUUCAACUCAUCUCAUCUCAUAACCAAGGUUUGAAGAGAGUACAAAUUUGAUAUUUUGGUUAUAGAAUAUGACAUGUACACAAGUUAUUGCCAGUGUUUUGAUAUUUUGAGUUUUAUAAUGAUUAGUUGACGUGAAAUAGUCGAAGUUGCUUCGGCAAUUAAUGUAACAUCUCAGUACUUUGACCCGAUGUUUGGGUCGGAUAUGAGGGUGUUACAUUGUUGGUAACUAUUUUGUAACUUUUCAUAAUUAGGUGACAAAAAAUUUCACUAAUAGUUAGAUAUUAAUUUUAUAAUUUUUCAUACUUGGGUGAACAAAAAGAAUUUACUAAUAGUUGAAGAAUUUACUAAUAGUUCAGUGAGUAAUAGUUUGAUUUACCCAAAAAUCUAUGUACUUACAAGUUACAAGAGGGGUAGGCUAAUUACCCCCUAUCCAUAAAUGAAUUCAUUACUGGCGGACCAUUAUCCAUAAAUGAAUAAACAUAAACAGGAAUGCAGUGGAAGUGGAUGGAUCAAUGAUAUCCAGUACCGGUAGGCAGUUGAGGUAGAGAAAAUAUUGGGUCAUACUUUUCAGUGCUUUUAAAGGCAAUCCCCCUCCCCUCCUCCUUUUUGCUGCAGCUUUAUUAACUGACGUAGUGCUAGAGUAGUAAAGGCAGCAGCAAGAUGGAAGUCCCCUUUUUCCCAACCCUUUUCUCCUGUAUCAAAGGCUUGGUGGUGCAACAAGCCUUGUUCUCAACCUUGGAGGAUUGGCUAGUGAAGCAUCCCAAAAUCCUCCAGUUUUCAUGGGAAAAUGGCCAAACACCAGCCUCCUCUCACCGCUUCCUCACCCUCACUGUCUUGUCUUACAUCUCUUUCACCUUCGUUCUCUCCCAACUAUCUCGCCCUUCACUUUCACGUCCACUCCUCAAAUCAAUCGCAGCCGUCCACAACAUCUUCCUCCUUACCCUUUCUUUCAUCAUGGCCCUGGGUUGCCUCGUUUCCAUCUUCUCCCAGGUGCCUAACUUCAACACCCUCGUUUGCUUCCCUAGGGGUACAUCCCCAUCGGGCCCUCUCUUUUUCUGGGCAUACAUCUUCUACCUCUCCAAGAUUGUUGAAUUCAUGGACACCCUUUUGAUCAUCCUCAGCGGAUCCAUGAAGAGGCUAUCCUUCCUUCACGUCUACCAUCACUCCAUGGUGGUCAUCAUGUGUUAUAUUUGCUUAGACAGUGCUCAGUCCUCCGUACCCAUGGUGCUGAUCACCAACUGCGUGGUGCAUGUCGUAAUGUACUCCUAUUACCUGUUGUGCACCCUGGGGAUGCACCCCAAGUGGAAGAAAAUGGUGACGGAUUUUCAACUGGUGCAGUUCCGGUUAAGCUUUUUGAUCAUGGCCAUGCUUGUGUUCUACCACUUCACUGCUUCUGGCUGCUCUGGGAUUCUGAGUUGGUGUUUCAAUGGAGCCUUCAACGUCUCUCUUCUCUACUUGUUCUCAGACUUUCAUGCCAAGAGUUACUCCACCAAUGCCAAGGUCUUCAAGGGUAACUAAUAAUUAAUUAAACCAACUUUUUUUUGUUUUUCCAUUUCGUUUCCAUUGUUACAUGUAGUAAUUGUUUCAGAGUGAUUCCGUUCAAGCUCAUGAAUCUGGUAUAGAAUCUUAAUUGUGAAAG
rnacentral:lncRNA from 1 species